rnacentral:rRNA from 1 species
GUCCACGCCGUAAACGAUGAUAACUAGCUGUCCGGGCACUUGGUGCCUGGGUGGCGCAGCUAACGCAUUAAGUUAUCCGCCUGGGGAGUACGGUCGCAAGAUUAAAACUCAAAGGAAUUGACGGGGGCCUGCACAAGCGGUGGAGCAUGUGGUUUAAUUCGAAGCAACGCGCAGAACCUUACCAGCGUUUGACAUCCCGCGCUAUCCAGAGAGAUCUGGGGUUCCCUUCGGGGACGCGGUGACAGGUGCUGCAUGGCUGUCGU